GUCAAAAUGUUGACAUUUGUUAUUCAAAAACUUAAAGUUUACGUCAGUAAACGUUCACAAAUUGGCGAAAGCGGAAAGCUAUAAUUACCACUUAUACUAUAGUUGACAUACGCUAUUUAAGACUAUUAUUUAAGUUUGCAAGGCUGGCUUUUAUAGAAUACUUUUGUAUAUACUGUUCAAAUAUAUGGAAAGUUCAAUGAAAGUGAUAAUUCUGGGGUAAAGUUCACCGCCAAAAAUUCCACGGUCAAUUCCCUUCCAAAAGAACGUUGUGGUCUCCAGUUCACCUGCUUCAGUGUAGCACAGCAGG